rnacentral:misc_RNA from 1 species
CACGGUUGCCCCAUCAGACAACUUGUCGUUUUCCUUCAUUUGUGAUCACAGGUUACUGGUUAGUGACGGAAAUCCGUUUAGGACUCGAUUCCUAGUUGUCAUCUUCGUUCCCUCUGAUCAAGAACUUCUCCAUUAACAUCACCAAAGUCCAAAGCCCAUAGUUCCAUCAAGUCGUAAUCUCUUUGCCUCAGUAGACAUGGUCACUAACUCCUUCACAAUGCUAAUAUUCCAGCAGACCCAUCAGGCAAAUUCCUCACCACUAAUCGCCACAAGAACCCUGUAUCCCUCGGCCGUGACUCUUCCCCUUCCAUCUCCGCGGAAUCCCAUCUUCGCGCGCUCCAGUGCCUCCGACAAUUCAACCAAAUUCUCAAAUUCCCCCCCAUAGGACCCGCUGCGUCACCACUGCAGCAGUGCGAAGCAGAUAAUGGAAUUGAGCUUAGCGCGGGAAUACAUGAAACUAUUGUAUUAGAUGUUGCUUUGUCUGGUGAAGAGGAGGCAAGGUUUGUAUACAAUGGUGUACUCCAGUUUUUACCGCUUCUUGAGAAAAGAGUGUUGGUUGUGGAUAUUGCAAGUGGGUCUACUGAAUUAGUCAUAGAGAAGAUGAGAAGUGUUAUUUUGGGGGUCUCUUUGAAGUAGGGGCAUGUGGGUUCGACUCAGAAGUUCGUUAAUAGUGGUAAUGUUUCGGACAUGAGACAGUUCGUUAGGUUAAUUACAAGGGAAUCUGGGUUGGUUGAUAAAGUUAAGGAGUGUGGUUUUGGGGUGAUUGUUAGGACUUCAGGGGCUAUAAAAGCAAUUGAAAAGGCUUUCUACUGUAUUUAUGGACAAUAUUUGGUUGACGGUAACAAGGUUUUGUUCAGGAAUUAUAACUGCGAUUGAAAGUUCAGCAAUGGAGAAUUGAGGUGUUGUGGACAGGUUGUGUAAGGAAGGGAAGGGAGAGAGGAUUCGGAGGUAUGAACUUUUCAAGAGAAGAUCAGAGUUUAUUGUUGCUGGUGCAGUGUUAUUGGAAGAGAUAUUUGAGGUGCUUGGAAUUGAAGAAAUGGAGGUCUGCGUAUGCCUUGGGAGAGGGUGUUAUUGCUGAAACUUUGGCUGAAGUGUUUGAUGGUUAUAAUUUGAAUGCUAAUGUGAGGUGGCAAUCUGUUGCAAGGCUUGAGCAAGGUUUGGCUACAAGAAGACAAUUAAAUCUGUAGCAAAAUGUGCUAUCAUUGCCAAUAAUGGUGAUUACCUUCAUUGAUAUAGUGCUGAAGAGGUCAAGGUAUAUUACAUACAAUCUGGUUAUCAUGCUUUGUACUCAAUAUGCACAUAUUCUGAGAGUGCUUUCUGUGCUGAUAGAGAUUUGGAAUUUUGCAGUUAAUAGCACUACUUACAAGGCAUCACGAUAUUCGGGGAAGCUGGCAAUAGAACUGCUUUAGCUGUGGGGGAGGACAUGGAGAAAGAACCAAAGAAAGAAUUAGCACAAUUGAAUUGUAAAAUUUUCAGCCCAUUACCAUUAUUUGUUUCUUCAGUAAGUCAGUAUGAUUAAGAUAGUAAAAUUCUUACUUUUUUUAUAGUUAAUUUUGUUCAUAUUCAGGUAUUCCUGCAACAAUUGUUGUUUGAGAUGCAGUCUUACACUUUAGAAUCAUCAAAGCCUUGAAAAUACUUGCACAAUGGACAUCAGUCAAUCUCAGUUUAUAAUAGAAAGUUAGAAACCUAUGUACCUUAUACACUGGAUCCCAAUAAUUGACCUAUAUUGAUUACCCCGGGAACAAACUAUACCUGGUAUGUCUGCAUUGUUCUUGUUUACAGUUUGAUUAUAUGUCACUCUGGUCUCGACCAUUUUCAUCAAGGUACCGAAUGCAUAUAUGUCUCACCUUCCUUUGUUCUUUCUUAAUCAGAAUACUUACAAACAUGUUCUCCCUUCUCUCUCCCUCAUGAAAGGGUAGUUGUGUUGCUGUAGAUGCCCUUGUGAUUUGGUUCAGGCAAAAUAAAGAUGAAUUGGAGAGAGGAGCUAAUAUGCAAAAUCAUUUGCUGCAUUGCUCAUUGCAUAUGGACACGACUAGUGGAUGUUGGCCUCUGAUUUCAACUGCUUUUUGGUGCAUAGUUUCCUUGUUCGUCUUUAUUCCUGUACAUAAUCUGUCUCAUUCUUAUCCUUGUUGCUAAUGUUGCUAGAGAGAGCAUGCAAAGGAAUUAUAUGACCGCUUCACAAAUGCAAAUUAAAUUUUGUUAAUGGUUGCAGAUGUUAAAAGCCCCCCCGGUGUUUUCCAUCAGGACAAUGCCCUGCUAACUCCAACCAACUCAUAGAAAAUCCUCAAAGAAGCAUUAUUAUUAAUUUCCUUUCUAAUAUGCAGCCUUACUGAAACACAAAUCUUGACAUUUAACAUGACGUGAAUAGGUAGAUGUCUUCUGUCUUGAUCCUUGGAACAGGUAUUAAAAUUUUCACUUUUAUGCUUUCAAGCUUCCAAGACCUGUUACAUCUUGAUUGGAAUCUCAUUGGUAUACAAAGUUCAUGUUAUUUACAAGGUUGACUCUGUGAAGUGGACUUGUUGACUAGAUAACCCAUGGUUGUUUACGUGAUAUGCACUGCUUGAUUUUACUGUUAACCAUGCAAGGUGAACUAGGAAAGAAAUUAACCUUUCACAGGGCUCUCGGAAUUUGGAUAACUUUUGGUUUUCCAUUGGUAAGUAAUGCUUCUGUGUAAGGGAUCUAGCUUGGCAAAUACUCAGUGAUCCAUACUCUAUAUAGGAAAAUGUAGCAUGUUCUCACUAAUACCCAUUGUUGAUAGAAAAAUUUAUUCGUUAGUUCAAAGGAUUUCUAUGGUUGUUGUAUUUUAUUAAUGGCUUGUGAUGCGUGCCUCAAGAACAAGGAAACAGGGGGCUUUCACUUCCCUCCAGCUGCGUGUUCUUGUCUUCCAUUUAGCAUAGAAAUUUCAUGUGAUUUACAAAGGCAAGUAUGCAGUUGGAAGGGUUAGAUAUUCACUGUGAACAUCCAGCCAAAUGCUUAAUGAAGAUGUUCUGGUUCAGAAAAGGUGACAAGAAAUGUGGCAGUGGGGUUGCUGCCUUUUCUUGUGAUUAAGAGUCUGUUUGACAUUUCUAUUGGAACCGUAGUUAAAAAAUACUUCUUGAAAUGUUAAUUUGAGAACAUCAGAGGGCUAUUUGGUUCACCUGUUGGAUGCAGUUAAUAAUUGAUAGACACAAAAAUAAGUGAAUUAAAUUAUUUGGCAAACUUAAAAAAAUAAAACUCAUAGCUGAUAGGUAAUUGAUAUGAUGUUCAUCGGUUGUAAUUGUAUCAGCUCUGUUUUUAGAAUUAUUUCUCAUCAGCUGAUAGCUGAUU